UUUUUAAGCUUCAAACUGGGAUUAGAUACCCCACUAUUCUUAAAUGUAAACCUAAUUAAAUUUACCAGAGUACUAUGAAUCCUAAAAAUUUAAAACUCAAAGGGCUUGGCGGUGUUUUAGACCUAUCAGGGGAACCUGUCUCAUAAUCGACAAUCCACGUUAAACCUGACCCUAUUUUUGCACCCAGUCUGUAUACCGUCGUCGUCAGGUAACUUUUUAGAAACCAGAAGUUAGCAAUAAAAAUUUUAUAAAUUUUAACGUCAGAUCAAGGUGCAGCUAAUAAAAAGGGGAGGAUGGGUUACAGUUAUUAUACUUAUAAUCAUGGAAAGCCAUGUGAAAUAUGGUUAGAAGGAGGACUUGAAAGUAAAAUAAAAUAUAUAAGCAAUUUGAAUGUGGCUCUUAAACGUGCACACACCGCCCGUCACCCUCUGCAGUCAAAAAAAA
rnacentral:rRNA from 1 species